UACGUAGGUGGCAAGCGUUGUCCGGAAUUAUUGGGCGUAAAGCGCGCGCAGGCGGUCCUUUAAGUCUGAUGUGAAAUCUUGCGGCUUAACCGCAAGCGGUCAUUGGAAACUGAAGGACUUGAGUACAGAAGAGGAAAGUGGAAUUCCAUGUGUAGCGGUGAAAUGCGUAGAGAUAUGGAGGAACACCAGUGGCGAAGGCGACUUUCUGGUCUGUAACUGACGCUGAGGCGCGAAAGUGUGGGGAGCAAACAG
rnacentral:rRNA from 1 species